UUGAAAAUGUUUUGCUGUUGCGUUGAUAUCGUUGUGAGUUCUGUGAACUGAAAAUGUCUUGCUGUGGUGGAAACUGUGGUUGUGGAAGCGGCUGCAAGUGCGGCGCUGGAUGCGGCGGGUAAGUUUCCGAUCACCUGUUGUCAAUCUGUGUGCUUAUGUGGAAAAUCUUUGCCGGCGUUUUGAUUGUCUUUCUUGGCAAUUUCGAUUUUGUGCCGUGAAACUUUUUGUUCUACCUUUCGGUGAUCUCUUUUUUUGGUUCACUAUUUCGCUUUAGUUUAAUUUCUCAUAGAUUUCACGCGAUCCCCAACGAUUAGAGAGAAGAGAAUAAACCAGAGAGCAUAACAAACAGGCGAUGACAGAGAGAUUUUUAAAACUCCUCCACAACACUUUUCUCAGUCCUUUGUAAUGUUUUCAUCUUGGUUAUGUUUUGA